rnacentral:rRNA from 1 species
AGUGAACGCUGGCGGUAGGCCUAACGCAUGCAAGUCGAACGGCAGCACAGUAAGAGCUUGCUCUUACGGGUGGCGAGUGGCGGACGGGUGAGGAAUACAUCGGAAUCUACUUUUUCGUGGGGGAUAACGUAGGGAAACUUACGCUAAUACCGCAUACGACCUACGGGUGAAAGCAGGGGAUCUUCGGACCUUGCGUGAUUGAAUGAGCCGAUGUCGGAUUAGCUAGUUGGCGGGGUAAAGGCCCACCAAGGCGACGAUCCGUAGCUGGUCUGAGAGGAUGAUCAGCCACACUGGAACUGAGACACGGUCCAGACUCCUACGGGAGGCAGCAGUGGGGAAUAUUGGACAAUGGGCGCAAGCCUGAUCCAGCCAUACCGCGUGGGUGAAGAAGGCCUUCGGGUUGUAAAGCCCUUUUGUUGGGAAAGAAAAGCAGCAGGUUAAUACCCCGCUGUUCUGACGGUACCCAAAGAAUAAGCACCGGCUAACUUCGUG